rnacentral:lncRNA from 1 species
CCAAGGUGUCCUGGAAGCGGCCCGUCCGCCUCACCACGUGGUGAGUUACGGCACUGGUGACGCCUCUCCGCGGGCAACAAACAGCGCGUGUGCUAUACGACUGCCGCCGCCGCCCGCCAGCCCGCCCGGUCGCACAGGCGGGGACCCAGGUUCGAGUCCCCUGCCCGGGGUGGGCGCUGCGCGGGGGCUCCGGGGACGGACGCAGUGGCCUUCUGGGAGAGGGAACUCCUCCGUCCCAAUCAGUGCAGAAGACGAACCCUGCAGCUUGAGCUCACCUCGUCCCCAGAUCCCAGAUCGGAGCUGCUCCCAAGUCCGCACGUUUAGGGGUCCGCCCCCGCCCCCCCAGUGGAAAAUUCCACACGAGGAGGCUUGCGUUCACCCACAAGCCUGUUGCAGCCAACACACACCUGAUCUGUCGGAACACCUGGAUCCCUGUACAGACCAGGUGUCAGUAUGAUACGGGGCGUCGCAUUGGUAGGGAUUUUUUUUUUUUUUUUAAAGAUUACUUAUUUGAAAGGCAGAGUUACAAACAGAGAGAGUCUUCCA